UGCAUUGGGUUGGGGACCAUUGGACAAAUGUUAUCGAUAAACAAUUGGAGGGCCAGUCUGGGGCCAGCCGCCGGGGUAAUUCCCGCUCCCAUAGCGGAUAUUAACGGUGUUGCAGUUAAAAAGCUCGGAGGUGAAAUGGGGGAAGGAGGAUAUUAUGGAUUUUAAAUUUCAUUUUAUAUUGGUUCCCCUCUCCCAUUUAAUAUUAAGGGUAUUAAUUUAUUUGGAAAAAGAAUUGGUCCUUUACUGGGAGAAAAUUAGAGGGUUCCAAGGAGGGCUUUGGUUGGAUAGAUUAGCAUGGAAAAAUAAUAAAAGGCUUUUAUGGUCCAUUUAAUUGGUUUGUUCCUAAAAACCAGAUUUAAAAGGACAGGUGGGGGGAUUCCUAUUCCAUAAGUAGGAGGGGAAUUCUCGGAUUUAAUGAAGAAGAAAAGGGCCCAAAAAAAAAGUGUUUGUUUGUUCCCCCAA
rnacentral:rRNA from 1 species